UGCCCAUUGGCCCAGUGGUUAAGGCGUCUGACUGUUACUAUCUGUCUAACAGUAGAAAACCGAAAUCAGAAGAUCCCUGGUUCGACCCCAGGAUGGGCAG